AGCGAACGCUGGCGGCAGGCCUAACACAUGCAAGUCGAACGAGACCUUCGGGUCUAGUGGCGGACGGGUGAGUAACACGUGGGAACGUGCCUUUAGGUUCGGAAUAACUCAGGGAAACUUGUGCUAAUACCGAAUGUGCCCUUCGGGGGAAAGAUUUAUCGCCUUUAGAGCGGCCCGCGUCUGAUUAGCUAGUUGGUGAGGUAAAGGCUCACCAAGGCUACGAUCAGUAGCUGGUCUGAGAGGAUGACCAGCCACAUUGGGACUGAGACACGGCCCAAACUCCUACGGGAGGCAGCAGUGGGGAAUCUUGCGCAAUGGGCGAAAGCCUGACGCAGCCAUGCCGCGUGGAUGAUGAAGGUCUUAGGAUUGUAAAAUCCUUUCACCGGUGAAGAUAAUGACUGUAGCCGGAGAAGAAGCCCCGGCUAACUUCGUGCCAGCCGCCGCGGUAAGAC
rnacentral:rRNA from 1 species